GGAGUAAAAGUCGUAACAAGGUCUCCGUAGGUGAACCUGCGGAGGGAUCAUUACAGAGUACUCGCCCUUACGGGUAGAUCUCCCACCCACUGUUAUCGUUACUGUCGUUUCUUUGGCGGGCCGCCGGGUCCCCGGCCGCCGGCGCCUAGCUGCCGGCGUGCGCCCGCCAGAGGCCUUCAAACUCUGAAUGUUAGUGUCGUCUGAGUACUAUAUAAUAGUUAAAACUUUCAACAACGGAUCUCUUGGUUCUG
rnacentral:misc_RNA from 1 species